GACAGGGGUCUCGAGCGUUAAUCGGGAUCACUGGGCUUAAAGGGUGCGUAGGCGGGCCUGUAAGUGUCCUGUGAAAUCCCCCGGCUCAACCGGGGAACUGCGGGGCAUACUGCGGGUCUUGAGGAAGGUAGGCGCCGAGGGAACAGUAGGUGGAGCGGUGAAAUGCGUAGAUAUCUACUGGAACGCCGAUGGUGAAGACGCUCGGCUGGGCCUUUCCUGACGCUGAGGCACGAAAGCGUGGGGAGCAAACAGG
rnacentral:rRNA from 1 species